GGGGAUGUACCGGUUUCGACGGGGGUGUGGAGGCCGGAUAAGCGGGCGGUGGCGCCUGGCCACCUUAAAACGGGCAAACUUAUAAAUUAAACAACAACACUAAUACUGUUGCUGUCGCUGCUUAAGCAGUGACCGUCUGAACCGGAGAGGCCACAGGCCGGGGAAGGCGUCGUUUAUGUGGCGUCCGUGAGGCAGGUAAGAGUUGCCCUGCCCACGCAUCAUGACUCUACUGAAUCGUGAAGUCUGUUAAGUGCCUUUGCGAGGAGGGAAUCUUUGAAACUUAACUGCGCCCGGAGAAAGUCUUGUUAAAGCGCUUUCGGACAGGGGUUCGACUCCCCUCAUCUCCACCA
rnacentral:tmRNA from 1 species